rnacentral:rRNA from 1 species
UAGGGAAUCUUCGGCAAUGGACGAAAGUCUGACCGAGCAACGCCGCGUGAGUGAAGAAGGUUUUCGGAUCGUAAAACUCUGUUGUUAGAGAAGAACAAGGACGUUAGUAACUGCACGUCCCCUGACGGUAUCUAACCAGAAAGCCACGGCUAACUACGUGCCAGCAGCCGCGGUAAUACGUAGGUGGCAAGCGUUUGCCGGAUUUAUUGGGCGUAAAGCGAGCGCAGGCGGUUUCUUAAGUCUGAUGUGAAAGCCCCCGGCUCAACCGGGGAGGGUCAUUGGACACUGGGAGAAUUGAGUGCAGAAGAGGAAAGUGGAAUUCCAUGUGUGGCAGUGAAAUGCGUAGAUAUAUGGAGGAACACCAGUGGCGAAGGCGGCUCUCUGGUCUGUAACUGACGCUGAGGCUCGAAAGCGUGGGGAGCAAACAGG